rnacentral:rRNA from 1 species
GAUGAACGCUGGCGGCGUGCCUAAUACAUGCAAGUCGAGCGAACAGACGAGGAGCUUGCUCCUCUGACGUUAGCGGCGGACGGGUGAGUAACACGUGGAUAACCUACCUAUAAGACUGGGAUAACUUCGGGAAACCGGAGCUAAUACCGGAUAACAUGUUGAACCGCAUGGUUUAACAGUGAAAGACGGUCUUGCUGUCACUUAUAGAUGGAUCCGCGCCGCAUUAGCUAGUUGGUAAGGUAACGGCUUACCAAGGCAACGAUGCGUAGCCGACCUGAGAGGGUGAUCGGCCAAACUGGAACUGAGACACGGCCCGGACCCCAACGGGAGGCAGCAGUAGGAAUUCUGGCGCAAUGGGCGAAGCCCUGACGAAGCAACGCCGGGUGAGUGAAGAAGGUCUUCGGAUCGUAAAACUCUGUUAUUAGGAAAGAACAAAUGUGUAAGUAACUAUGCACGUCUUGACGGUACCUAAGCAGAAAGCCACGGCUAACUACGU